GUUGUAUAGUCAAGUAAUUAAGUGCAUGUGGUGGAUGCCUUGGCAGUCAGAGGCGAUGAAAGACGUGAUAGCCUGCGAAAAGCUCCGGGGAGGCGGCAAAUAUCCUUUGAUCCGGAGAUGUCUGAAUGGGGGAACCCACCUACUUUAAGGUAGGUAUUGCAACAUGAAUACAUAGUGUUGCAAGGCGAACGAGGGGAAGUGAAACAUCUCAGUACCCUUAGGAAAAGAAAUCAAUUGAGAUUCCCUCAGUAGCGGCGAGCGAACGGGGAUCAGCCCAUUAAGUUAUGUGUGUUUUAGUGGAACGCUCUGGGAAGUGCGAACGUAGAGGGUGAUAUUCCCGUACACGAAAGGGCACACAUAAUGAUGACGAGUAGGGCGAGGCACGUGAAACCUUGUCUGAAUAUGGGGGGACCAUCCUCCAAGGCUAAAUACUCCUGACUGACCGAUAGUGAACCAGUACCGUGAGGGAAAGGCGAAAAGAACCCCUGUGAGGGGAGUGAAAUAGAUCCUGAAACCGCAUGCAUACAAGCAGUGGGAGCACCUUCGUGGUGUGACUGCGUACCUUUUGUAUAAUGGGUCAGCGACUUAUAUUCAGUAGCGAGGUUAACCGUAUAGGGGAGCCGUAGAGAAAUCGAGUCUUAAUAGGGCGUUUAGUUGCUGGGUAUAGACCCGAAACCAGGCGAUCUAUCCAUGAGCAGGUUGAAGGUUGGGUAACACUAACUGGAGGACCGAACCCACUGUCGUUGAAAAGCCAGGGGAUGACUUGUGGAUAGGGGUGAAAGGCUAAUCAAGCCUGGUGAUAGCUGGUUCUCCCCGAAAGCUAUUUAGGUAGCGCCUCGGACGAAUACCAUAGGGGGUAGAGCACUGUUUCGGCUAGGGGGUCAUCCCGACUUACCAAACCGAUGCAAACUCCGAAUACCUAUGAGUACUAUCCGGGAGACAGACUGCGGGUGCUAACGUCCGUAGUCAAGAGGAAAACAAUCCAGACCGCCAGCUAAGGCCCCAAAAUCAUAGUUAAGUGGGAAACGAUGUGGGAAGGCAUAGACAGCUAGGAGGUUGGCUUAGAAGCAGCCACCCUUUAAAGAAAGCGUAAUAGCUCACUAGUCGAGUCGGCCUGCGCGGAAGAUGUAACGGGGCUAAAACUAUGUGCCGAAGCUGCGGAUUUGACAUUAGUCAAGUGGUAGGGGAGCGUUCUGUAAGCCGAUGAAGGUGUAUUGAGAAGCAUGCUGGAGGUAUCAGAAGUGCGAAUGCUGACGUGAGUAACGACAAAACGGGUGAAAAACCCGUUCGCCGAAAGACCAAGGGUUCCAGUCCAACGUUAAUCGGGGCUGGGUGAGUCGACCCCUAAGGCGAGGCCGAAAGGCGUAGUCGAUGGGAAAAUGGUUAAUAUUCCAUUACUUCUGUGUAAUGCGAUGAGAGGACGGAGAAGGCUAAAUCAGCCUGGCGUUGGUUGUCCAGGUGAAAGGAUGUAGGCAUGUAUCUUAGGCAAAUCCGGGGUACUCUAUGCUGAGAUCUGAUAGCAAGCUGUACUUGUACAGCGAAGUGGUUGAUGCCAUGCUUCCAGGAAAAGUCUCUAAGCUUCAGUUACACAGGAAUCGUACCCGAAACCGACACAGGUGGUCAGGUCGAGUAGACCAAGGCGCUUGAGAGAACUCUGCUGAAGGAACUAGGCAAAAUGGUACCGUAACUUCGGGAGAAGGUACGCUGUUGUUGGUGAUGGAACUCGCUUCCUGAGCUGACGACAGCCGCAGAAACCAGGCCGCUGCAACUGUUUAUUAAAAACAUAGCACUCUGCAAACACGAAAGUGGACGUAUAGGGUGUGAUGCCUGCCCGGUGCUGGAAGGUUAAUUGAUGGGGUUAGCGUAAGCGAAGCUCUUGAUCGAAGCCCCAGUAAACGGCGGCCGUAACUAUAACGGUCCUAAGGUAGCGAAAUUCCUUGUCGGGUAAGUUCCGACCUGCACGAAUGGCAUAAUGAUGGCGGCGCUGUCUCCAGCAGAGGCUCAGUGAAAUCGAAAUCGCUGUGAAGAUGCAGUGUACCCGCGGCUAGACGGAAAGACCCCGUGAACCUUUACUGCAGCUUGACACUGAACUUUGACCUUACUUGUGUAGGAUAGGUGGGAGGCUUUGAAGCUGGAACGCUAGUUCCAGUGGAGCCGUCCUUGAAAUACCACCCUGGUAAUGUUGAGGUUCUAACUCUGUCCCGUGAUCCGGGACGAGGACCGUGUCUGGUGGGUAGUUUGACUGGGGCGGUCUCCUCCUAAAGAGUAACGGAGGAGUACGAAGGUGCGCUCAGCGUGGUCGGAAAUCACGCGUAGAGUAUAAAGGCAAAAGCGCGCUUAACUGCGAGACCCACAAGUCGAGCAGGUACGAAAGUAGGUCUUAGUGAUCCGGUGGUUCUGUAUGGAAGGGCCAUCGCUCAACGGAUAAAAGGUACUCUGGGGAUAACAGGCUGAUACCGCCCAAGAGUUCAUAUCGACGGCGGUGUUUGGCACCUCGAUGUCGGCUCAUCUCAUCCUGGGGCUGAAGCAGGUCCCAAGGGUAUGGCUGUUCGCCAUUUAAAGAGGUACGCGAGCUGGGUUUAGAACGUCGUGAGACAGUUCGGUCCCUAUCUACCGUGGGCGCUGGAAAUUUGAGAGGAUCUGCUCCUAGUACGAGAGGACCAGAGUGGACGAACCUCUGGUGUACCGGUUGUGACGCCAGUCGCAUCGCCGGGUAGCUAUGUUCGGAAGGGAUAACCGCUGAAAGCAUCUAAGCGGGAAGCCUACCUCAAGAUAAGAUUUCCCUAGGACUUUAUGUCCUCUAAAGAGCCGUUCGAGACUAGGACGUUGAUAGGUUGGAUGUGGAAGCAUAGUGAUAUGUGAAGCUGACCAAUACUAAUUGCUCGUGAGGCUUGACUAUACAACACCCAAGCAGUUG
rnacentral:rRNA from 1 species